AUGGAGUCCUUGUCCCAGCUUCUCUGUGGGCUCUUCAUGCUUUGGGUCCCAGGUUCCAGCGGGGGCAUUGUGCUGACCCAGUCUCCAGCCUCAGUGUCUGUGACCUCAGGAGAAAGAAGCACCAUCAGCUGCAAGGCCAGUCAGAGUCUCAAACACAGUGAUGGAAAGACUUACCUGCACUGCGUCCAACACAAACCUGGACAAUCUCCUCGGAGACUCAUUUACCAGGUUUCCAAGCUGGACUCAGGAGUCCCUGCUAGGUUCAGUGGCAGUGGUGCUGAGAAGUAUUUCACCCUCACAAUCAGCAGAGUGGAGCCUGAGGAUGUGGCAGAUUAUUACUGUUAUCAAACACUUUCUUCUCCCACAGUGCUACAUCCCUGA